AAGAACUUUGUUCCCUUGCUCCCCAAUUCUUCCACUUUUCAGAUAAGUGAUUCUCAAUUUUAUAUGAAUUCCCAUUUCCAGAUACUUGAGGCUGAGCCAGGUUUGAGGGGCUGAGAAGAUCUCAUACAUACCAUUUUACUGAAAAGGUGUCAGAGUGGCCAGAUUUAUCCGGUGGGGGUCCCACCUGCUCUGCCAUGUUCCCCGUAACGUGGCCUUGAUGCAGGCAAGCUUCUAAUGUGCUUUAGCAGCCCUUUCCCUGGUUUCGUCUUAGUGCCUGAGCCAGGCGUGGCCAUGACAUGCAGAUGGACUUUGUUCCUCUGGUUUUGUUUCUGGAGCGCCGGUGUAUUUACUAACCUCUCUCGUGGGCGCAUUAUCAUGCACACACAGCACGUGUCAUGCUGCCCAAAGGGAUGGCAGUCUGGGCUUCUUGGCCGUGGCAGGAGUAUGGCAGGGUUCCCAAGGCCCGUCUGGGGACAGACUUUAUGCUUUCAAGUAUCUGACUCUUUGUACCCCCAGUAAAUCCUCAGCGAGAUGGAGUCACAUCACAUAAAUCUCGUGAAGGUUCCCUGACGCUUUUAGAAGGUGACCGAAAUCUUUAACCCGGCCUGCAGUGCUCUCUCUGUGAUCGGGUGGUGACACCAAUACCAGUUUUUCUUCAAUAGAAGCUUCUAAAAGCUUCCUAUGCAUCCACAACCCCAUCCCUGACACGCUGCAUUUGCUUUUGCCAUCCGACCAGCGAUUUCUAAACCAAUGUCACCACAGAAGUCCCCAGGGUCUUCAGCUUGGCUCUCGGAGAGGCUGAGGGGAAGUAACAGUGAUUAUGUAGGUUGAGAGUUCUUUUGAGCCUCUCAUGCCUGUCUUCCCCAACUCUGCCUCUCAGGGUGAAAUAAUCCAUGCCCCUCACCGCCCACAUUUUUCAGUCUUCACUGCUUGCUUCUCCAUGGCUUGGUGGGCGUCGGUGCUGUGUUUCAGCUGUAACAUUCAGAAGCAGAAAUGUGGGCCGGUGUGCUGUUCUCCCCAACCUGGUACUUGGUGUUCAAACUUGGCAAACACUGAAAUGUAGUCACAUUUCUGCCUACAGUUUCCAAAGUUUCUAAAAUGUAGCCUGAACGAAUGGGAUGACUAGCGAUAAUUGAGUUCAGGGGUCCUGAGCCAGAUAAGGACCACUAAUUGUUCAGUGCUUUUAUGUUAAAUUAAUUAUUUUCCCAUUAGGAAUGCUUGCUACUUACAAAGAAUCAUUAAUGUGCCGUAGCCUUUGUCCCCUCCCCUCAUUUUACAUUUCUAUAAUUUGAAUCUCUUAAUAAAUCAGUCCUAAGCCUGAAACAUAUUGUUGUUUGUUAUUGUUAUUUUAUCAUACUAAGCUCUCCUGAGAUAAACUGGAAAAUAAUUCUAUUUGAUUUUAUCUUAUUCUUUGAACCGAACAUGUUAUUUGGAAAUAAAAAACAAAGCACAUGAAAAAAACAGAGAAAAGUAUAUUCCUUUAUCACUGGUUUCUUGGGGAAAAUAAUCUAACAUUAUUUUUCCUUUUUAGUAUGCUUCUUGUAAUGCAUUAUUUUCUUUUCACUUUUCUCUGAGUCUUCGCUCGAGAAUAGCACUCCUUCCCAUGAUUAUAUUUCUGAAUCCUCUGAGAUCUCUGACUAAAUUGUGUAGAAAAUGUGCUGCUGUAAGAUUUCGCUGAAACACAAAAAGAAUAAGGAAUUCUGUUUCUCUAAAUUCCUGUUACUACAUCAAAUAUUUGGUGGGUUGCUCAUAUCUGUAGUUAAACUUUUUUCAAUCACAGGGUAUUACUUAAUUUUUAUUUUUAUAUUUGACACUUCUAUCUAUAAUUUUUCAUUGGGAUUUUUAGAUAUAGAAGAAUGCAGGAUAAUUUUGUGACUUUCUUUCUGCCCAACUGUUUGAAAAAUUCUAAAUACUUUUAGAGGUGAUUGGUGAGUAUUCUAAAUACCUGCUUCAAUACAAUGUGAAAAAUAUUAGAACCGUUACUAGCAUAUGCACCAUCCCACCCUAUGCCCAACACACAUACACUUGCUCCAAAAAGAGAACAAACCGACUGGUAAGGGCAACAAGGGGAUAAGUCUGUGUAGCAAGACUCAAAUGUUCAUAUGUUCUUCUUCUUUUUUUUUUUGCCCCACCUGUGAUAUGCAGAAGUUCCUGGGCUAGGGGUCAACCAUACCUCCCAGCAGUGACCUGAGCCACAGCAGUAACAACAGCAGAUCCUUAACCUGCUGUGCCAUCAGGGAGGUCCCCCAAAUCUAAGGUUCUUGAUCUACAGAUAACCAUGGCCAAACAAAAGCCACAUCUCUCACUUCGUUGGUUCUGUCCUCAUCACCACCCAAAUUCUUAUAAGACUGGGACUUCCUUGAUGUCUUUCUUACAAGGGAUGCUGACAGAAAACUGCUUGAAUCAGAAACAAGGUCAUUGUAUGACAUGAACAUUAAUGCUGUUAAGAUGCUUGUCUUGGGAUUAGCCUGAGAAAGGUGUACCAGAGUCUGUAAAACACUCCUCUCGAUGGUGAGGGAUGCCUCAUGAGAAACUAGGUAAAGAAUUAUCAGCUAGGGUAUCUAGGUUUUCUCUCCUGAGUGAUGUCUGAUGAAAUAUAAGGACAGAAUUUCUUAGGACAAGAAAGAGAAGACAGAAUUAGUAUAUGAAGGAAAUAAUACAGCAGCAAUGUGCUUAGGGAUGCUGAUGAAAUCAUAAAGAAUAAUUUAAAAAAACCCUCCAGAAUAAGAGAGAAUGUAUGUGUUUGUGUGUCUAGGGCCAUACACACAGAUAGAUCACAUGAAAACUUUAAAGAGAGUAGAUAUUACUUUUACCAGCUAACUUUCAAAAAUUAAGUUCAUAGCUGAGAAAAUUAAGAAUUUAUAUAAAAUAAAGUGCAUUGAAAAAAAUCAAAAUCGAUGAGGAUGUGGAACAACAAGAACUCUCAUUCAUUGCUGAUGGGAUCCCAAAGUGGUGCAGCUGCUUUGGAAGACAGUUUGGUGGCAAUUUCUAUUUCUUUUUAUUUUUGUCAUUUAACUGUUUAUUACGGUUUUUAAAAUCUUUUUUAAAAAUUAAAGUUUGGUUGAUUUGCAAUGUUGUGCCAAUUUCUGCUAGACAAAAGUGAUUCAGUCAUUUAUACACACACACACACACACAUAUACACACAUUCCCUUUCUUAUAUUAUCUUCCAUCAUGGUCUAUCCCAAGAGACUGGAUAUAAUUGCCUGUGCUGUACAGUAGGACCUCUUUGCUUAUUCAUUCUAAAUGUAAUAGCUUGCAUCUACUAACCUCAAACCCCCAAACUCCCAGUCCAUCCCUCUCCCUUUCCACACCCCCUUGCCAACCACAAGUCUGUUCUAUAUGUCUGUGUAUCUGUUUCUGUUUUGUAGAUAGAUUCAUUUAUGCCAUAUUUUAGAUUCCACACAUUUAGAUAUAUGUGAUACCAUAUGGUAUAUGUCUUUCUUUUCUGACUUCACUUAGUGUGAAAAUCGCUAGUUACAUCCAUGUUACUGCAAAUGGAAUUAUUUCAUUCCUUUUUAUGGCUGAGUACUAUUCUAUUGCAUGCAUAUAUAUAUAUAUAUAUAUAUAUAUUCAUGUCGAAGAACAGUUGGGUUGUUUCCAUGCUUCCAUGCCUUCGCUAUUGUAAAUAGUGUUGCUAUGAACAUAGGGGUGCACGUAUCUUUUUGAAAUGUAGUUUGGUCUGGAUAUAUGCACAGGAGUGGGAUUGCUGUAUCAUAUGGUAUUUCGAUAUUCAGUCUUUUGAAGAACUGCUAUACUGUUUUCCGUAGUGGUUAUAUCAAUUUACAUUCGCACCAACAGUGUAGGAGGGCUCCUUUUUUGCCACACCCUUUCCAGCAUUUGUUAUCUCUAGACUUAUUAAUGAUUGCUGGCAAUUUCCUAACUAAACAUACUCUCACCACAUGAUUCAGCAGUCACACUCCUUGGCAAUCACCAAAGGAAUUGAAAAUUUAUGUCCACUCAAAAACCUGCACACAGAUAUCUGCACCAACUUUAUUCAUAAUUGUCAAAGCUUGGGGGCAAAGUUGUCCUUUAGUAGGUGAAUGGAUAAAUAAAAUGAGGUACAUUCAGAAAGUAGAAAUAUUGUUCAGAGCUAAAAGGAAUGAGGUAUCAAGCCAUGAGAAGAUAUAGGGGAAAUGUAAAUGCAUGUCACUAAGUGAACGAGGCUAAACUGAAAAGGCUACAUACUGUAUGAUUCCAACUAUAUGACAUUUUGGAAAAGGGAAAACUAUGGAGACAGUAAAAGGAUCCAUGGUUGCUAGGAUUGGGGUUGGGGUCAGGGUCUGAAUAGGUAGAGAACAGAGUUUUUAGGGCAGUGAAAAUACUCUAUAUGAUACUGUAAUGAAGGAUUCGUGUCUAUACAUUUCUCCAAACCUCUAGAAUAUCCCACACCAGGAGUAAACUUUGAUCUAUGAACUUUAGGGAGUUAUUAUGUAUCAAGGCAGGUUCAGAUGUACCCCUGUGGCAGAGGAUGUUGAUAGUGGGGAGGAGAUGCGUGUGUUGGGGUGGGGGGGUAUAUGGAACCCUCUAUACCUUCCUCUUACUUUUGUUGUGAAUUUAAAGCUGCUCUAAAAAAUAAAAUAUUUUUUAAAAAAGAAAGGAAAGAUAUAUAUUAAAAUAUAUAAAUAAUAAAAAUAAUAGGUAGGUUAAGGAGAAAGUGCUGUUUUUAAUAAAAUUAUAACUUGAAAUACAUAGAAUGUACAAACACAUUCUGCUGCGUUUGUUUCCAGAGGAGGAAAUUCAGAAUCCUAGUUUACAGAGUCCAACCUAGAUUCUACACUGGGCACAGUGACAUAGUAAAACCAGUUCAGAGAGGCAUGGUUAGGUCCCUUCCAGAGCACGGGAAGACUCCUAUCUUUAUUUUACUGUUUCUGUAAAAAUGGAGUUUUGCAUGCUGUCCUGAAGAACAUGAAAGAGGACAAAUGCCCUGAUUCCAUUUUUGACAGGCCAGCAAAUACUCUUGCAGCAGCAGAGUUAAUUCUACAUUAGAGGGAAAAGCUGCAUAGCCUCUGUCCUAAUGGAGACAUUGGAAAUGGAGUGGACGCCUCUGUUUCUUAGCUGCUGCUUCGUGGAGGGCAGUCGGGGGCUACAAUGGAAACUCUGCCACAUUUUAGUCUCCCUUGUAACAGCCGUAGCCCUUGCUUUUUAUAAUUAUUUUUUAUUUUCCAGCAAUAUACUUCCUAGUAAAAGAACUUAAAGAUCCAAAGGGGGGGAGGAACCCACAAAGUAAAAUAAAAUAUCAAAAAGUGAGAGUGGGCUGAAAAAGGGGAAUAAAAAGGGCCAGAGGCAGGGUGCCGCCUUCUUUAGGUCUACCCAGGAAGUCUUUCCUGGUUCAGGAUUCUUCCUCUGUUGAACCACAAAGAGAAAAAUGUAUUAGGCUUCUGAAUGCCAGCGUAUAUUGUCUGUCAAAGGGUUUUUCCAGUUAAAGGACCAAUUAAUUUCCAGCUCCUACAGCUCAUGAGGAUAUAAAAAUAGGAUCUUGUAUGGCUUUUGAAAUACAGGAUAUACUCUAUUCUUAAAAGAAGAGGAUUGAAACUGGCUUUUCUCUUU
rnacentral:lncRNA from 1 species